GUUUGGGAAGUCGGCUAAAUCUGUG
rnacentral:sRNA from 1 species